CCUCUGGUUUGCCAACCCGGGGGGCAGCAACAGCAUGCCUGGCCAGAACCGCAGCUCGGUCCAGCGGACCCACUCGCUGCCCGUCCACACCUCCCCUCAGGCCAUCCUCAUGUUCCCGCAGGAUUGCCAGCUGCCUGGAACGGAUCUGGAGAUCAACCCCACCUUGGAGUCCCUGUGCCUGAGCAUGACGGAGCACGCGCUGGGCGAUGGCACGGACAAGACCUCAACCAUCUGAGCAAGCUGGAUCUGCGGGCAUCAUCCUGAGAAGCUUUAGGAUGGCUGUUUAUUUUUUCUCCUCCCAAUUCCUUUCCGUUUUUUUUGUUUUGUUUCAAGCCCCUCCCCCAGGGGUAUGUCACUACGGGGGUAGGUGAAUAAUUUUUUUGUUUUCCUCCGACCCCCUUCCUCCUCCUCCCCCCCCCCCCCCCC